AUAUACUUUUAACAUAGAAAGAUUUUCCGUAUACAUUUUUAUAAAACUUAUAAAAAAACCAGCACGCGUAGCUCUUCUGGAAAUUUUCACGAGACUUAAAAAUUUUCAUAAAAACAACAGAUAAAGAAUAUCUAUAUAUUAUGUUUACGAUAAUAAGACAAUCAUACACACGUAAUUACGCCACGAGAAAUGAGAUUUUUUUGUUAUUACAUCUACGUAAGUAAAUGUCAGAACCUUAAGUUAUUAGAUGAUAAAAGGAAAAAGUAUUAUACAUAUAUUAAACAUGUAUUUCUUAUUACACGUGAUAAAUAAUACUCCGAUGCGUGAUAGAGGUCACGAAUGAUUUGUAACAAAAUAAUAUUGACUACAGUCGCGAUUAGUUCCAAUUUGUAAGCGCACGUUAUUCAUUAACAUAUCUGUGUAAACUCGUAAGUUUAUUUUCUUAUGCGCAAAAAUAAUUUUUAAUUGAAGGAAAAAAUGACUCCUAAUUUACCAUUUAAAUACUUUCUAAGAAGAAAGACGAUAAUGUAAUGCGAUCAUUGAGGCAAUUGAGAUGCAGAGUGAAUAUCACAGAAGAAAUCGCAAUCUUAUUUGCUUAUAUGAAUACCCUCGUCAAUGUUCACGAGAGUUUAUUGAUAUGAUUGUGCGUUAUUAGAUAAUUGCCCAUUUAAAUUCUAACAUUCAACGAAGUUCUAUCGAGUUAACUGGAAAGAUAAAAGCCAGAUAUUAAAAACAAAUUUGAAGAAUGAUUUGGUGCCUUUGGCAAAGACAUUUAUGGGACACUAAGGAGAUGAAAAGUAACUUGUCCCUUUUAGUUUUGGCACAGCCUCGAAUUCAAAGCAACCAAGGCGAGCUCUAUUUUAAAACGAUUGUCACCACGAAUAUCCACGUACAGGCCUGCGGUCACUGCCGUCCAUUAACCGCAAUAGAGAGAGAAUCGUAUCUCUAGAAUAAAGGAUAAAGUAAGAUGGUAGAAACCGUUCAGCCAUUGUUCUCCGAAAGAAUUUUCGAGAAUAUAAAUAAAUAGAAUUGCCAUAAAUAAUGAAACGCUAUAUUAAUAAGGACAGCAAUGCAAAAAUAAUCAAAAGUAAUUCGGCAAUUUAUAUUUUCGAUCGAAAGAGUUAGAAUAUGUAUAAAAAUGCAUCAUUUAUAUAAUAUAGUCUAAACAUCAAGGAAAUUGAAUCAUAGACUGAAAUUCAUACUUGACACAGGAUGCACUCUCUUCAUCUAUUUCACUUGAAUUAAUCUUUAGCAGCAUGAUUCUCACUUUAUAUAUUAGCAUGAUUCUCACUUUAUAUAUAGUAUAUAUUCCUUAAUCAAAUUUGUGCACGAUAAAAUAAAGUAAUAAAAACAAUAAAAAUAAUAUAACAUAUAUA